CACCACUCACUUCUUAUCCACCGUCGCACCACUCCAAUAGCUGACUACCACCGCCGCCCCUCACCUUCCGUCGUUUCGCCGAGUGACGACGCGCAUCCGCCUCCUUCGCUCUGCCUCCCUCGCCCUGCAUCUCGCACCAUCUCGCCUCUCAUCCUCGCGCCGCCUCCCUCCGUUGUUCAUGGCUGCUGGGCUUCUUCUUCGUUGGUGGCUAGGCGCGUGCGCAUCCGCCUCGGCCACUCCGCCGCUCCCCGGUGUGGUUGCACGCUCGCCUCACUCCGCCGCUCCCCGGUGUGGUUCCCUGCAUCCCCCUGAACCAGCCAUCCACCGCGUAUCCUCCCGCUCGAUGUCGUGGCUUGCCGUCUCCGCGCGCGGUUAGGUGUUGUCUCUCGAACUCAGGCACAACAGAUCUGAGUUCUUGGGUGUUCUUGAGUUGUUGGCUUCCAGAUCUAUCAUGUGAUUCGUUACUUGGUUCUCGGUUUGUGUUGGAGCUCCUGCUAAUCCUCCCUAUCAUCUCUCUUUUUACUCUAUAUAAUUUGCAGUAGCCAAUCCAGCGUGCUUCCAUAAAAAAUGUGUGCCUUUUUUAGUUUAUUUGGUAACUUGUUGAUUUUUUCUGAACUAUUGUCCAAGUCAGUGAUGAUGUUCAUUUGGUCUGAGCAUAUAUGUCAUAGCCUAUGAUCUUGUUCAUUUGGUCUUAGCGUAUGGCCUAGUCUCUCAUGAUUUGGUAAUUUUUAUUCUUUUGUCAUGGGGUUGAUGAGCGGGUGACUGCAGAAUAGGGGGGCAUAUCAUAUUAAGGUAUCACUAGUUGGGCAUGAGUGGAGAAUGAACACAUUUGCUCUUAUAACAUGUCAUUCAUCACAUUUUUUUUGAAUCAUCCACUAUUUAGCAACACUUGGGUCAUACUCAAGGUGAUGGCAAAUAGUCGAUGUUUCAUUAGAUUCUAUAUGGGUGCCAUGUUUCUGGUUAUUUUCAAAGUUGUCUAUGCUGUUAGUUCUUUUAAUAUCUAUUCCAGCCACCAAUGACUUUGUUCCAGAAGAUAAGCUGAGGCAAAAUUUUUGAGACUUUCUUGAUCUGGGACUGUGUGCUUGUGCUAUGAUGAUUAUUGUUAUUUCUAAGAUACUAUACACUCUGAGGCAAUAAGCAUGUGCUAUGAUGAUUAUUUUUUUCUAAGAUACUAUACAAAUUCUAAGGCAAUACAUAUGUGCAUGUGGUUUGUUUUAGGCAAUAUGGCAUUUGCAGUGAUUUUACGUGCAGUAUGACUGAAGAGAUUAUGCUAGUUGAUGAUCUAGUGUUUCCUGAACUUGAGUCUGGUUUUGUUUGUAUUGAGGAACACUGUGUUGGGGAUGUGAUUGAGCAUGUAUGUAUUUUCAUAUAACUCCGCACAUGUAUUUUCCUAUGAUCAGUCUCAUACAACUGAGCGCAUGCCUCUUUGUCAAUGAUGGUUUACUUGUCUAUAAUGAUUUGGUAAUUUUUAUUCCUUUCUAAUGGGGUUGAUGAGCUGGUGACUGCAGAAUAGGGGAGCAUAUCAUAUUUAGGAAUUUUGCUGCUACUAUCCUUCACUGUAUGUCAUCUUAUUCUGGAGAAAACGUUUGUUGUCAGGCUAUGACCAUAUGGUCUGAGAUUCUAGACAUAUGCUGUGAUGACUUGUUCAUUUUAUAAAGUAAAAUGCUCUAAGAUUUUGGACAUAUGCUAUGAUGUUUUUUUUUUGACUGACAUGCUACACAUGUGCUGAGGCUUGGGACGUAUGCUAUGAUAAUUUUUGUGGUUAAGAUGCUACACAUGUCAGGCUUGGGACAUAUGGUAUGAUGAAUUAUUUUUUCCUGGGAUGCUACACAUGAUGCAUUUGGGUGAUUCUUUUCUACUUGGCCUAUGAUGCACGUAUAAGUAAACAUUGAGGUGACUGUUUUUGUAUGUUAUUGAAUCAUCCACUGCUUACCAUUGUUUUUCAAGUACUGUUUUUGCUCUUAUAACAUGUCAUUGAUCACAUCUCUUGGAAUCAUCAACUGUUUAGCAACACUUGGGUCAUACUCAAAGUGAUGGCAAAUAGUGGAUGUUUCAUUAGAUUUUAUUGGUGCCAUGUUUCUGGUUAUUUUUAAAGUUGUCUAUGCUGUUAGUGCUUUUAAUAUCUAUUACAGCCACCAAUGACUUUGUUCCAGAAGAUAAGCUGAGGCAAUUUUUUUAUGAUUUUCUUAAUCUGGGACUGUGUGCUUGUGCUAUAAUGAAUACUGUUAUUUGUAAGAUACUAUACACUCUGAGGCAAUAGGCAUGUACUAUGAUGAUUACGGUUAUUUGUAGGAUACUAUACACUCUGAGGCAAUAGGCAUGUGCUUUGAUGAUUACUUUUAUUUCUAAGAUACUAUACAAAUUCUGAGGCAAAACAUAUGUGCAUGUGCUUUGAUUUAGGCAACAUGGCAUGUGCAGUGAUAAUUAGUUUUAUACCAUAGUGGCUUCUGACUUUAAGUAGUAUUGAGGACCACGGUUUUGGUGAUGUAAUUGAGCAUGAAUGUAGUUUUAUAAAAACUGAGCACAUGUCUUUGCCUAUGAUGAGACUCAUACAACUGAGCGCAUGCCUCUUUCCCAAUGAUGGUUUACCUGUCUCUUGGUUUUAUUUGACUGCAUUUUUUUCCUUCCUACACUUCACUGCAAACUAUAUUGUUGCAAAUCUAAUGGAAGUAUCUGGUUCGACGAGGUAAUUUUUUGCUUAGCCGUCUUUGUUAACAUGGUUCCUUAGGAGAUUCAAUGACCGUAUGUUUGCCUAGCAGGUGAAUGUUUUCUAGUUAUUGUCUAUGGAUGUGUAUUUAACCACGGCAAGGCUCAUGCUCAAUCAGAUACAGAGGGAGUUUAGAAAACAGCAGAUUGAGCAUGAGCCUUGCCGUGGUUAAAUACACAUCCAUAGACAAUAACUGGCAGCCACUACAUUUAUCGGCAAGCAUAUAAGUUGCCCUGCUCCAAAGAUGUGGAAUCGGCUCCUUGGCGGCGCGGUCUCGAGGAGCAUGGCGAGGGAGCAGUAGGAGCUCAAGCUCAUCUAUGCCUGGACGACAUCCUCGACACGGCACCUAACGAUCUCAGCUGACGGAGUGAAUGAGCCGGAAAACGAGAACGUUGGAAACGAGU